AUGCCAUGAUAAGGGCAUUUUUGCAGCAACUCUCUAAAUCUCUCCCAAGCUUCAUAGAAUGGGUCAUGCUCUCCUUGAGUAAAUGCAUGAUAUCUCUUCUAAGCUG
rnacentral:snoRNA from 1 species